rnacentral:rRNA from 1 species
AGCGACCGCUGGCGGCAGGCCUAACACAUGCAAGUCGAACGAAGUCUUCGGACUUAGUGGCGGACGGGUGAGUAACACGUGGGAACGUGCCUUUAGGUUCGGAAUAACUCAGGGAAACUUGUGCUAAUACCGAAUGUGCCCUUCGGGGGAAAGAUUUAUCGCCUUUAGAGCGGCCCGCGUCAGAUUAGCUAGUUGGUGAGGUAAAGGCUCACCAAGGCGACGAUCAGUAGCUGGUCUGAGAGGAUGAUCAGCCACAUUGGGACUGAGACACGGCCCGAACUCCUACGGGAGGCAGCGGUGGGGAAUCUUGCGCAGUGGGCGAAAGCCUGGCGCUGCCAUGCGGCGUGAAUGAUGAAGGUCGUAGGAUUGUAAAAUUCUGUCACCGGGGACGAUAAUGACGGUAUCCGGAGAAGAAGCCCCGACUAACUUCGUGCCAGCAGCCGCAGUAAAAC